rnacentral:rRNA from 1 species
CGCGUAGUACGGCUCAGUAACAUGUAGUCAACCUGCCCUGGAGACGCGGACAAACCCGGGAAACUGGGGCCUAUCCGCGAUAGAUGACUUCAUCUGGAAGGAGAGGUCGUCCAAAAGGGCGCACGGGUAUGCUCUGUGCGCUCGCUCCAGGAUGGGACUGCGGCCGAUCAGGCUGUUGGCGGGGUAAUGGCCCACCAAACCUGUAACCGGUACGGGCUUUGAGAGAAGGAGCCCGGAGAUGGACACUGAGACAAGGGUCCAGGCCCUACGGGGCGCAUCAGGCGCGAAAACUUCGCAAUGCGCGAACGCGUGACGAGGCUAGUCCGAGUGCUCCCUGCUAGGGAGCUUUUCUCGGCUGUAAAUAGGCCGGGGAAUAAGGGGAGGGCAAGUCUGGUGUCAGCCGCCGCGGUAAUACCAGCUCCUCGAGUGGUCGGGACGAUUAUUGGGCCUAAAGCACCCGUAGCUGGUUCGGUAAGUCCUCUGUUAAAUCCAGUCGCUCAACGGCUGGUCUGCAGAGGAUACUGCAGGACUAGGAGGCGGGAGAGGCGGACGGUACUCCGCGUGUAGGGGUAAAAUCCUUUGAUCCGCGGAAGACCACCAGUGGCGAAGGCGGUCUGCCAGAACGCGCUCGACAGUGAGGGGUGAAAGCUGGGGGAGCGAACCGGAUUAGAUACCCGGGUAGUCCCAGCCGUAAACGAUGCGAGCUAGAUGAUUCAAUCGCAGUUCGCGAUUGAAGUGUCGCAGGGAAGCCGUUAAGCUCGCCGCCUGGGGAGUACGGUCGCAAGGCUGAACUUAAAGGCCA